rnacentral:rRNA from 1 species
GACGAACGCUGGCGGCGUGCCUAAUACAUGCAAGUAGAACGCUGAAGAGAGGAGCUUGCUCUUCUUGGAUGAGUUGCGAACGGGUGAGUAACGCGUAGGUAACCUGCCUUGUAGCGGGGGAUAACUAUUGGAAACGAUAGCUAAUACCGCAUAACAAUGGAUGACACAUGUCAUUUAUUUGAAAGGGGCAAUUGCUCCACUACAAGAUGGACCUGCGUUGUAUUAGCUAGUAGGUGAGGUAACGGCUCACCUAGGCGACGAUACAUAGCCGACCUGAGAGGGUGAUCGGCCACACUGGGACUGAGACACGGCCCAGACUCCUACGGGAGGCAGCAGUAGGGAAUCUUCGGCAAUGGGGGCAACCCUGACCGAGCAACGCCGCGUGAGUGAAGAAGGUUUUCGGAUCGUAAAGCUCUGUUGUAAGUCAAGAACGAGUGUGAGAGUGGAAAGUUCACACUGUGACGGUAGCUUACCAGAAAGGGACGGCUAACUACGUGCCAGCAGCCGCGGUAAUACGUAGGUCCCGAGCGUUGUCCGGAUUUAUUGGGCGUAAAGCGAGCGCAGGCGGUUUGAUAAGUCUGAAGUUAAAGGCUGUGGCUCAACCAUAGUUCGCUUUGGAAACUGUCAAACUUGAGUGCAGAAGGGGAGAGUGGAAUUCCAUGUGUAGCGGUGAAAUGCGUAGAUAUAUGGAGGAACACCGGUGGCGAAAGCGGCUCUCUGGUCUGUAACUGACGCUGAGGCUCGAAAGCGUGGGGAGCGAACAGGAUUAGAUACCCUGGUAGUCCACGCCGUAAACGAU